GGGGAUAUAGCUCAGUGGUAGAGCAUUCGACUGCAGAUCGAGAGUCCUGGUUCGAACCCGGGUGUCCCUU
rnacentral:tRNA from 1 species